GAUGAACGCUGGCGGCGUGCCUAAUACAUGCAAGUCGAGCGAACAGAUGAGGAGCUUGCUUCUCUGACGUUAGCGGCGGACGGGUGAGUAACACGUGGAUAACCUACCUAUAAGACUGGGAUAACUUCGGGAAACCGGAGCUAAUACCGGAUAAUAUAUUGAACCGCAUGGUUCAAUAGUGAAAGACGGUCUUGCUGUCACUUAUAGAUGGAUCCGCGCCGCAUUAGCUAGUUGGUAAGGUAACGGCUUACCAAGGCAACGAUGCGUAGCCGACCUGAGAGGGUGAUCGGCCACACUGGAACUGAGACACGGUCCAGACUCCUACGGGAGGCAGCAGUAGGGAAUCUUCCGCAAUGGGCGAAAGCCUGACGGAGCAACGCCGCGUGAGUGAUGAAGGUCUUCGGAUCGUAAAACUCUGUUAUUAGGGAAGAACAAAUGUGUAAGUAACUGUGCACGUCUUGACGGUACCUAAUCAGAAAGCCACGGCUAACUACGUG
rnacentral:rRNA from 1 species